UACGAACCGUGCGAACGUUGUUCGGAAUCACUGGGCUUAAAGGGUGCGUAGGCGGGCGAUCAAGUCAGGGGUGAAAUCCUCCAGCUCAACUGGAGAACUGCCUUUGAUACUGGUCAUCUCGAGUAAGGUAGGGGCGUGCGGAACUGAUGGUGGAGCGGUGAAAUGUGUUGAUAUCAUCAGGAACUCCGGUGGCGAAAGCGGCGCGCUGGACCUUAACUGACGCUGAUGCACGAAAGCUAGGGGAGCGAACGGG
rnacentral:rRNA from 1 species